rnacentral:rRNA from 1 species
GACGAACGCUGGCGGUGUGCUUAAUACAUGCAAGUGGUGCGACGAACCAGAGCUUGCUCUGGGGCAAAGCCGCGAACGGGUGAGUAACACGUGGGUAAUCUACCCCGAUGACCGGGACAACCCGAGGAAACUCGGGCUAAUACCGGAUGUGGUGCGGAGACAUAAGUCUCUUCACUAAAGGUAGCUUCGGCUUCCGCAUUGGGAGGGGCCCGCGGCCCAUUAGCUUGUUGGUGGGGUCAAGGCCUACCAAGGCAACGAUGGGUAGCUGGUCUGAGAGGACGAUCAGCCACACUGGGACUGAGACACGGCCCAGACUCCUACGGGAGGCAGCAGUGGGGAAUCUUGCGCAAUGCGCGAAAGCGUGACGCGGCAACACCGCGUGAGGGAAGAAGGCCUUAGGGUUGUAAACCUCUUUCAGAUGGGACGAAGGUUCUCCGGUGAAUAGCCGAGAGGAUUGACGGUACCGUCAGAAGAAGCUCCGGCUAACUACGUG